rnacentral:piRNA from 1 species
AGAAGCUAUUGCAGACAUAUGGUAUGC